rnacentral:piRNA from 1 species
UGUGAACCAUCAUGUGCAGCCUUAACUU